UACGUAGGGUGCGAGCGUUAAUCGGAAUUACUGGGCGUAAAGCGUGCGCAGGCGGUGAGUUAAGUCUGAUGUGAAAGCCCCGGGCUCAACCUGGGAAUGGCAUUGGAAACUGGCUCGCUGGAGUGUGGCAGAGGGGGGUGGAAUUCCGCGUGUAGCAGUGGAAUGCGUAGAGAUGCGGAGGAACACCGAUGGCGAAGGCAGCCCCCUGGGCCAACACUGACGCUCAGGCACGAAAGCGUGGGGAGCAAACAGG
rnacentral:rRNA from 1 species